rnacentral:rRNA from 1 species
GGACAAGCGAAUAAGUGCACAUGGUGGAUGCCUUGGCGAUUACAGGCGAUGAAGGACGUAGUAGCUUGCGAUAAGCUGCGGGGAGUGAGCAAACACACUUUGAUCCGCAGAUUUCCGAAUGGGGAAACCCGGCCCUUUGGGUCAUUGCAUGCUGAAUACAUAGGCAUGCAAAGCGAACGCGGCGAACUGAAACAUCUAAGUAGCUGCAGGAAAAGAAAUCAACCGAGAUUCCCAAAGUAGUGGCGAGCGAAAUGGGAUGAGCCUGUACGUGAUAGUCGAUUGGAUAGUGGAAGCUUCUGGAAAUAAGCGCCAUAGCGGGUGAUAGCCCCGUACACGAAAUCCGAACGGUGGUACUAAGCGUACGACAAGUAGGGCGGGACACGAGAAAUCCUGUCUGAACAUGGGGGGACCAUCCUCCAAGGCUAAAUACUCGUAAUCGACCGAUAGUGAACCAGUACCGUGAGGGAAAGGCGAAAAGAACCCCGGGAGGGGAGUGAAAUAGAUCCUGAAACCGUGUGCAUACAAACAGUCGGAGCCUCUUUAUGGGGUGACGGCGUACCUUUUGUAUAAUGGGUCAGCGACUUACAUUCAGUGGCGAGGUUAACCGGAUAGGGGAGCCGUAGAGAAAUCGAGUCCGAACAGGGCGACAGUCGCUGGGUGUAGACCCGAAACCAGGUGAUCUACCCAUGGCCAGGAUGAAGGUGCGGUAACACGCCCUGGAGGUCCGAACCCACUAAUGUUGAAAAAUUAGGGGAUGAGCUGUGGGUAGGGGUGAAAGGCUAAACAAACCUGGAAAUAGCUGGUUCUCUCCGAAAACUAUUUAGGUAGUGCCUCAAGUAUCACCAUCGGGGGUAGAGCACUGUUAUGGCUAGGGGGUCAUUGCGACUUACCAAACCAUUGCAAACUCCGAAUACCGAUGAGUGCGAGCUUGGGAGACAGACGUCGGGUGCUAACGUCCGGCGUCAAGAGGGAAACAACCCAGACCGCCAGCUAAGGUCCCAAAGAUUGGCUAAGUGGAAAACGAAGUGGGAAGGCUAAAACAGUCAGGAUGUUGGCUUAGAAGCAGCCACCAUUUAAAGAAAGCGUAAUAGCUCACUGAUCGAGUCGUCCUGCGCGGAAGAUGUAACGGGGCUAAGCCAGUCACCGAAGCUGCGGAUAUCUAGCAAUAGAUAUGGUAGGAGAGCGUUCUGUAAGCCUGCGAAGGUGUCUUGUGAAGGAUGCUGGAGGUAUCAGAAGUGCGAAUGCUGACAUGAGUAGCGAUAAUGCGGGUGAAAAGCCCGCACGCCGUAAGCCCAAGGUUUCCUGUUCAACGUUCAUCGGAGCAGGGUGAGUCGGCCCCUAAGGCGAGGCAGAGAUGCGUAGCUGAUGGGAAGCAGGUUAAUAUUCCUGCACCGUCGUAUGAUGCGAUGGGGGGACGGAUCGCGGAAGGUUGUCCAGCUGUUGGAAUAGCUGGUUUCUGGUUCAUAGAAGGCGCUUAGGCAAAUCCGGGCGCAGGAUUCAAGGGACUGGGACGUGUAGCCAUGUGCUACGAAGCAAUCGGAAGUGGUUCCAAGAAAAGCCUCUAAGCUUCAGUCAUACGAGACCGUACCGCAAACCGACACAGGUGGGCGAGAUGAGUAUUCUAAGGCGCUUGAGAGAACUCGGGAGAAGGAACUCGGCAAAUUGGUACCGUAACUUCGGGAUAAGGUACGCCCCGGUAGCUUGACCACUUUACUGUGGAAGGGUGAAAGGGUUGCAAUAAACUGGUGGCUGCGACUGUUUAAUAAAAACACAGCACUCUGCAAACACGAAAGUGGACGUAUAGGGUGUGACGCCUGCCCGGUGCUGGAAGAUUAAAUGAUGGGGUGCAAGCUCUUGAUUGAAGUCCCAGUAAACGGCGGCCGUAACUAUAACGGUCCUAAGGUAGCGAAAUUCCUUGUCGGGUAAGUUCCGACCUGCACGAAUGGCGUAACGAUGGCCACACUGUCUCCUCCCGAGACUCAGCGAAGUUGAAAUGUUUGUGAUGAUGCAAUCUACCCGCGGCUAGACGGAAAGACCCCAUGAACCUUUACUGUAGCUUUACAUUGGACUUUGAACCAAUCUGUGUAGGAUAGGUGGGAGGCUUUGAAGCAGGGACGCCAGUUCCU